ensembl:lncRNA
AUGGAGAUCUACUCAUCAACUGCAUGUGUAGUGACAAUCUUGUUCAUUUUUGCUACAUCCUCUGCACAAGGAAUUUGGCAUCAUGACAGAAGGAGCCACAAUGCAGGUUUCAGUGGACAGAUGGAAGGCAGCCAUCAUCUGCACUGUUGUGGAAAUGUGUCGUACAAGAUCUCAGAAAGUUCCUGCUGUAAUGGUAAUGUAACUAACGGAUUAAGCCAGCUGGUGGCUGACUGCUGUGAUUCUGUAGCUUACAAUCCCCUUAAUGAGAUUUGCUGUGAUGGCAGGAUUCUGACUAGAAGCAGCACUCACGCAAAAUGCUGUGGCAAAGUCAUGUACCUGACAACGACUCAUUUGUGUUGUGGUGGCAACAACAUAUUUCAAUGGAAGGAAAAUCAUUUUUGUUGUGGCAAGGAAACGUAUGACAUGACAACCCACUGCUGCUGUACUAACCUUACACUAGAAGUAAAGCCAAAAAAUGAAACUUGCUGUCCAAAAGUAACAGGCACUGAUAAAAGAACAGGAUGCCAGCAAGGCUCUCUUCCCACCCGACUGAAAAUCUCAAGCACACUCUCCAAAAACUUAGAAUCAAAGUGUGGAUCAAAACCCUACAAUCCCAAGAACAAAAUUUGUUGCUCAGGGAAUCUGUAUAAGAAGGCUUCAGCACUUACUAAGUGCUGUGGCAAAGAUGUUUACACUCUGUCAGAUGACAAUGUGCUAUGCUGUAAUGGAAUCCUUCAUCUCAAUGUGCCUGAGCAGUCAGAGUGUGUUGGAGGUGUUAUAUAUGCUCCCCCAAACACUAUUUGCCAAAUGUCUGCUCGUCCCCGUCUUGGUGAGCACUGCUGUGGAGGACAAACCUUCAAUCCUCGCACACAUAUUUGCUGUAACGGACACAGUCACAACAAGAUGAAUGGCAAUUACUGUUGUGGUUCAGAAGUCUAUGACCACCACAACCAGUUGUUGAGAUGCUGCUCAGGUCAUCUCUACAACCUAACACGUUUAAGUGGGGAAGCAGAGUGCUGUGGAAACCAUCUGCUGGAAUAUAAUAACAAUCAGAUUUGUUGUUCAUCCUCAACCAAUGCUAUAAUUUAUGACACCAAACCAAACCACCGUUGCUGUGGGCAUUACUACUACAACACAUCCCUGUGGAGCUGCUGUGCUGAACAUCUCAAACCAACACCAAAGCCUGACAGCUCUCCUGCAGAAUACAGGCUUAAACCACUAAUGGACCUGAUCCCUGAAAUGUGCAAUAAAACAGUGUUCUUUGGCAAAGUGGAGAGUGUGGCACUUGAAAAUUAUCAGCGUCACAUUGUUUUGCAAGUUGUUGGACAGGUUGAUGUAAUAUCGGAAAAGAUCAUCAAAGACCCUUGGCUUCAUGUGUCCCUGGAUCACUGCAGCUCUCCUGCCACAGAGAACGGCAUGACCUACCUUUGGGAGGAAAACCAUGAUAGGAAGUACAAGCUUCUCUCUCACCAUGUUGACCUAACCUCUGACAUGCACAUGUUCUAUGCUGUAUGUUACCAAAAGAAGAGAUAGAAAUAUGGAUUGAGGUCUAUUUCCAAUCAUUUCAAACCAAAUUCAAAGCAUGCUGGUUGUUAUGAGAUUUUUGUCCGGAAAGAAUUUUUAUCCACCAUUAAUGCUAAAUGACCCUGUGUGUGAAGGGCCACUAUAUUUGAAAGCUAAGAACCUAUACUCCCUUAAGACAGGCUUCUAAAGUCUCUGUUACUGUAGCAUUACACAGCUUUAUUGCAGAGGCGCCACAUGUUUUGUCUCAUUGGUUAUUUUUAUUUCAUCCCAAUAAUGGAUUGAGCCUGUUUGGAGUGUGCAAAGGGGAUAGUUCAACCAAAAAAUAGAAUUUGCUGUCAGUGUACUCACCCUCAAGCCAUCCAAGAUGUAGGUGACCGUUUUUUAUUUUUUUCUUUGAGUUGAACAGUAAAUAAGAUUUUUAGCUGAAACUUUGGUCUUUGGUUAUUCAUAAAAUGCGAGUCAACGGCUGCCCGUCGUUGAGAAUAAAAAAAAAGAAGAGCAUAUCA